UAAUGGCAAUAACAAAGUAAAGCCCAACCAAACAAACGAAUGUGCAAAGUAACUUUUGCUGACUAGGAUCCGAUGCAAAAGAGGACUCUUGCCUUAACCUGGUUUGUUAGGCCAAAGAGUGGAAGAGAGAGCCAGUUUCUGUCACAAUCAGUGCUAAUGGGUAAUGGCAACACAACUUCUUCAAGAGUAAUGGCCUCUCCACAACAAUAUUGGAACCCUUGAGAACAAGCAGGUCUUAAAGAACUUCCAAGGCGAUGAUUGCCGAUCCACGACAAUAUUGGAACCCUUCAGAACAAGCAGGUCUUGAAGGUAAAUCAUUUCAGCGGCAAAAGACUCAUGAUGGGCCAAGCCGAUCCACAACAAUAUUGGAACCUUUCAGAACAAGCAGGUCUUAAAGCGGCAAAAGACUCAUGAUGGGUCAAGCAUACAUGUGCAUCUCAUCACGACAUUUAACAGUGUAAUGUGCUGCAACAACGUAGGAUACUUGGGGAAAAUACAGAAAAGGCUUCAGAACGUUGGAGCUUUGAGUUUGUGUUAGGUACAAGAUUUAUUUGCAUUGUCUGAGACAAGAUGCCAAUGUUGCAGAGGCCUGACCAUUAUCUGAAGCCUAAGACAUCCAGGCCUGAAAGGCGUAAUUAUCUCAAAUACAACCUCCAUUGAAACAUUGCCGUCAUCACAAGAUUAGACAGACUGUACUGCAUUACAAGAAAUGGAAUCCAUGUUCCCAUUAGCUUCCUAGGACCAUGCUGGAAAAUCAUAAUCCGUGUACAAUGUCUGGAGUAUGGAGAUAGCAUACUUCAGUUACUUCCCCACUAAUUCAGUGCCAAAAUGUCUUUUUUCAACAUUUUGUUCUUAAUUUUGCAUUUUAAGCAGUAGCAUAGAGGAAGAUAGAAAACCACAUUAAUCAUAUACAGUUUAAGGCUAAAGCAAAGUUUUAAGCAUAUACAGCUGUAUUUUGUAUGACUCUUCUAAUUGAACUAAAAGAUGUGGAAAAAAUCUGCAGAAAGAAGAAAGAUUGAGAAAGCCUCACUGAGCAUCUUUCAGUGACUCUUCCACAGAAACAUCCCUGUCGAAUUCCAAACACAAACCUUACUAAAUUUGUUAAACAGAGGGUAUAAGAUCAGACGACUACCUAGUACCAAAUGUAAAUCCAAUAAGGGCUGACAGCACAUUUAGUCAUAUGCUUGGUACUUCUGCACCUCUACCUGCAUCAGCUGCUUACCUUGUACAUUCCUUUGCAGGCAAUUAGGUGUCAUUAGUGCCCGAGGCUAAAACUAACAAGCUAUUCAAAAUCAUCUUAGCUUAGAAUGUACUCCCUCUGUUCCAAAUUGUAGGUCUUUUUGGCUUUUCUAGGUUCAUAGAUAUUAUUAUGCAUCUAGACAUACACUAUAUCUAGAUGCAUAAUAAUAUCUAUGAACUCAGAAAAGCCAAAACGACCUACAAUUUGGAACGGAGGGAGUAGAUAACAUCACAUUAUUAAUGUUAGCAACUUUCUGGUUCAGUUAAUGAAAUGCUGAUUUCAAACAUCAAAUAGUGAAAAUUAUGCACCACAAAAGACUUUUUUUGUCCACAAUGAAGCAUACAUAGAAUAGUAGUUUUGAUCACCUAGAAAAGGAAGCACCAAAAGAAGGGUGCACUCAAGCUUCAGUGACUCAUUUUCGUGAUGUCAUAACAAGCAAGCUCAGCUCAAGUGCUUGUAACACAGCACUCACACUGAACUGAUGAGUCUGUCAUGACUUUACAAAUAUAGAGUUUUCUAUGUAUAUGUAGUAAAGUUCUUUUCUAUACGCACUCUUUCAAAUGCAAUACUAUUGUAUACGCCUUGCAUUUGAGGGCCGUGUUAGGAGUACAGAGUCCUCUAUGUAUAUGUCAGUAGAGUCCUCUAUACGCACCAUGUCCUACACAUAUGCAAGUAUUAAAUGCAGUAGAGUUCUCAUGAGGCUAUUAUUCAAUGCAAGUUCUAUUCAUAAGAGAAUCUACAUCUUUGAAUAUGAACUCUAGGGAGAUAAGACCUGACUAGAUGAUUGAUCAAGUUAGCACAUAAAACUACAAGAUAGUCGACCUAGACCAGUAUUGUAGGUUAAAUGUCGAAAGCAACAAAAAGCUCUGCAAGUAUUGUGAUUUGAGUAUGGUAAGUUUUAACUUUUAACAAAUCACAAUUUGUUCCCACGAGAAGCAAUAAAAGAUUUGAAAAGAUUCCAGUAAGACAUGUAUAACAUUUUUAUAAAAAAAACAUCCUAUGACAACUAUAGGUACAAUUGUGCUUAAUAUCAGCUCCAAUAUGACAGCUAUAAAGACAUUUCUACAAAUUACAGACCUAUAUGAUGGAGACCUAGUAUUUUUUUUCUCGAACAUGCUGAUGGAGACCUAGUAACAAUAAAAGACGAGAAAUCAGAGUAGGAGAGCCUGUUGCACUAAGCAAAGAAGAAAAAUCACAUGCAGAAUUGGAUUCAAAUCAACCUGUUUAGCUUAAGCUGUACAAGAGCGACAAGUCACAGCUAUGUCAUUGCUUGCUCUCCUCAGAGUUAUAUAAUUGUAACUGCAAGCCAAUCAUUUUCUUUGUUUUGAGUCUUGUUCCAUUUCAAGUUCCAACAACUUAAUAAUAAAUAUUCCAAGAUUGUGGCAAUCAGGUCCAUGCAUAUGUAAGUACUAUAAACCUAGAACAAUGCUAGCAUGAAUGUCAAAUGACAUAGGGACAGCCACAUGACAAUUCACAUUUCACACAAGGAUUUCUAUUUUGAAACAACAAACAGUACACUAUAGGAAUUUCAAUUUUCAAUGCUGCCAUGUCACAUACUUAAUGCCACAUCAGAAGCAGGACAGUAUUAUUAUGGCUUAGUGAGCUACUUGUAAGGAACUAAACUAGUGAAAACUAAAUAUGUAAGGUGGCAUAGUGGCCCAAAUAAAAAUAUCUGGAGUUAAAACAAAAUAUGUAGGGACUAGGGUGGCCUAAUGGUCCAAAUCAAGAUAUCUGAAGCAAAACAAAAAAAAUGUCAGAUUAAAAACAAGGGGCGUAGGGUGCUUAACACAUUAGUGUCAUCAAAAGGGUUUCAGCUAUGCAAGCAUAAUUCCAAAAGAGGAUACAGUUCAUUUAGCAUAACUGCAGGGAAAUGCUACUAGCUAGCGCAUGGGCAGAGGCAGCCUGAAGCCUGGGUAUUCCCAGGAAUACCCAGGUUUGUUUGAAAAAAAAUCAAGUAUACAUCAAGUGUAUACAUAUGCACAUGGUAUAUUGACCUGUAAUCUGUUUCUUGAGCCAUAAAUCCAGCCCAAGGUGCCACACUGACCCCGCCAGCGUUCUUCUCCCUCCCCGUCUCCCUCCUCUUCCCUUGCCUCCCACCAGGCCAGCCCACAGCCCACUCUUCUCUCCCUCUUGUUGUUCUCUUCGCAGCUAGCGCUCUCAGCCUCUCGCAACAACGCACAACUUUUUUUCGCAGCUAGCGCUCUCAACCUCUCACAACCACGCACUGUGCACAGAGUGACACACCUGCACUCCUCUCCCUGUCGUUGCCCUUCCCCAAAUCUGAAUGAAACCUUAGGUCUGGCGGCCUGGCGAGCGCGGGGUGCAGUGAGCCGAUGAGCACAAGCCGGCGAGCUUCUCCUGGAGUCCUGGAUCACAUCUGCGGCUUGUUGAUGUGGGGCAGACCGGGUGGGGCACAGCAGCAGCAGCCAAGCAGCACAACUAUGCAAGGCAGCAGCAGGCAGCAGCAGCCAAGCAGCACAACUAUGCAAGGCAGCAGCAGGCAGCAGGGGCGCAGCUCAACUUUGACUGAUGAGCGACAGAACAUGUUACAUAUGAGCACCAAUUUUGCAGCAUAUAACUGACAGUGCUUUUUAGUAAAUUAGUUGUAUUACUUCCUUUCUAUAGAUCUUUGAAGAUUUUGAAAAAUUAGUGUGGAUGACCUUCCUAAAGUUUUUUACAUAGAAAAUGGGAAUACCCAACUUUUAAAUCCUGGCCCCGCCACUGAGCUGGCGCAUCAAUUUACUAACAAAAGGAGAUAACCCUGCCACUGUAGUGUCUUAGGAAAACAUUCAGUCAUCAAUUUGGUGAACCUAUAUCACUGUUGGCAACCACAAGUGGUAGUCAUUUUAAUUUCCAUAGCAUCGGCUGCUCGUUGUUAAACUAAAAGGAAAAGAAAAUUCAUGUGGUCUCUAUCAAAUUCAUACUGUAACAGAAAAAUUGUUAUCAUAAAUAUGCUUAUGUGCAUGAAAAAAGUUUGGUGCUCAAUGAAUAGUUGAGACAAUAAGACGAUAAGGAUAAUAACUGAACCAUCUAAGAUCAAAGUGCUGCUAAAAAAACUCAAUUAGAGAUCAUAAUACAGCAGGCAAAUGUUCUACUUGAAGCAAAUCAACUAAAACGAAGAUACCCUCGGACCCC
rnacentral:lncRNA from 1 species